GUGGGUAGCGGUGAAAUUCCAAUCGAGCCCGGAGAUAGCUGGUUCUCCCCGAAAUAGCUUUAGGGCUAGCCUCAAGGUGAGAGAUACGGAGGUAGAGCACUGAAUGUCCUAGGGGGUAUUGCACCUACCGAAGACUAUCAAACUCCGAAUGCCGUCAUCUUAUACUUGGGAGUCAGACUGUGGGUGAUAAGAUUCAUAGUCGAAAGGGCAACAGCCCAGAUCGUCAGCUAAGGUCCCUAAAUGUAAGUUAAGUGGUAAAGGAUGUGGGAUUGCACAGACAACCAGGAUGUUGGCUUAGAAGCAGCCACUCAUUCAAAGAGUGCGUAAUAGCUCACUGGUCGAGUGAUCCUGCGCCGAAGAUUUCCGGGGCUAAAACUUACUACCGAAGCUACGGCAUCAGUAAUGAUGGGUAGGGGAGCUUCCCAUACGGGUUGAAGCAUGACCGUAAGGACAUGUGGACAGUAUGGGAGUGAGAAUGUUGGCAUGAGUAGCGAGAUGUGGGUGAGAAUCCCACAGGCCGUAAACCCAAGGUUUCCAGGGGAAGGUUCGUCCGCCCUGGGUUAGUCGGGACCUAAGCUGAGGCCGAAAGGCGUAGGGGAUGGACAACAGGUUGAUAUUCCUGUACUACCGAUAACCGUUUGAGAGA
rnacentral:rRNA from 1 species